UACGUAGGUGGCAAGCGUUGUCCGGAAUUACUGGGUGUAAAGCGCGUGUAGGCGGCAGGCCAAGUCUGCGGUGAAAGCGCCCGGCUCAACUGGGCGAGGUCCGUGGAAACUGGUCAGCUGGAGGACGGUAGAGGCGAGUGGAAUUCCCGGUGUAGUGGUGAAAUGCGUAGAGAUCGGGAGGAACACCUGUGGCGAAGGCGGCUCGCUGGGCCGGUCCUGACGCUAGGAGCGAAAGCGUGGAGAGCAGAAG
rnacentral:rRNA from 1 species